rnacentral:rRNA from 1 species
ACUGACAGCCAUGGUUACCGCGGCUGCUGGCACGGAGUUAGCCGGUGCUUCUUCUGCGAGUAACGUCACAGAUGUAAGGUAUUAACUUACACCCUUUCCUCCUCGCUGAAAGUGCUUUACAACCCGAAGGCCUUCUUCACACACGCGGCAUGGCUGCAUCAGGGUUUCCCCCAUUGUGCAAUAUUCCCCACUGCUGCCUCCCGUAGGAGUCUGGGCCGUGUCUCAGUCCCAGUGUGGCUGAUCAUCCUCUCAGACCAGCUAGGGAUCGUCGCCUAGGUGAGCCUUUACCUCACCUACUAGCUAAUCCCACCUGGGCUUAUCCAUCAGCGCAAGGCCCGAAGGUCCCCUGCUUUCCCCCGUAGGGCGUAUGCGGUAUUAGCAGUCGUUUCCAACUGUUAUCCCCCACAAAUGGGCAAAUUCCCAGGCAUUACUCACCCGUCCGCCGCUCGUCAUCUUCAAAAGCAAGCUUUUGAAAUGUUACCGCUCGACUUGCAUGUGUUAGGCCUGCCGCCAGCGUUC